UACGAAGGGGGCUAGCGUUGUUCGGAUUUACUGGGCGUAAAGCGCACGUAGGCGGACUAUUAAGUCAGGGGUGAAAUCCCGGGGCUCAACCCCGGAACUGCCUUUGAUACUGGUAGUCUUGAGUUCGAGAGAGGUGAGUGGAAUUCCGAGUGUAGAGGUGAAAUUCGUAGAUAUUCGCAAGAACACCAGUGGCGAAGGCGGCUCACUGGCCCGGUACUGACGCUGAGGUGCGAAAGCGUGGGGAGCAAACAGG
rnacentral:rRNA from 1 species